ACAUCAACCACAGCAGCAGCAGCAGCAGGAGCAGCAGCAACAGCAGCAGCAGCAGCAGCAGCGGGAGAGAGAUGGCAUAUGACACAGUGACUAGUGAUGAGGGAAGCACGAUACCAAGUGUCUGUGUGUUUGUUGCUGCCAUUACCUACUUCUAAAAAAAUAUUAGUAAAGAGGGGUCAUGGUUAGCCUACUGUAAGUGCACCUAACGCUCACUUUGGCCACGUCUGCAGCACAAUACCAACACCAAAAAUAAAUCUACAGCCUACUGGUUUGUGGCUGUAACUAGGUGAAGGAGGAGCCGAUGAGGGUGAUGGGAGAGGUAAAUAAUGUGGGCAAUACUCAUGUAAAAGUCGAUCGUUAUUAACUUUACGUGUCGGGAUCCAUGAGAGGGCAGCAAGAAAACAACAACUGAUGUAGCCCCAAAAGAGUCCCUUCAAUGAGCAGACAUGGAUGUGAAAUAUAAAAGACAGUGACAGUAAUGUAAAAAGAAUAAAAAACAAAAGAGAAACAAAGACACCUGAUGAGUUAACAGAUGGGUAUUAGCAUUUGUUUUGAACCGAUGAAUGUCCCCCCCCCCCACACACACACCAAAAAAAUAAAUAAAUAAAUAAAUAAAUAAAAGCUAUGGUACUAUGCUUAACUACAUGAUUAAUCUAACCCUCUUGUGAAACAAUAUCCAAGUUGAAGGUGAACACUGAACUUGCCCUUAGAAUAACCUGUUUAAAAUUUGACUUUUACAUGAAUACAUCUGACACAUGGAGGAGCGAGGGAAAGAAAGGACAACAGAUAGACAGAAAGGGUGAAAUACUAUAGGAGAUAAGUGAUAUAAUAGACCAAAGGGGGGAGGAGACCAUUCAGCUGACGAUGCAACAAAAUUAAGAUGUUUACGGAGGAGAAAGAGAAAGAGAGGACAACAGGUGGACAAAAAUUAACUGAAAUACUUUAGGAAACAAGUGAUCUAAAAAGACUAAAGGGGGAAGCAGACCAUUCAGGAGACAAUGCAACAAAAUUAAGAUGUUAACGGAGGAGAAAGAGAGGACAACAGGUGGACAAAGACUAACUGAAAUACUUUAGGAAACAAGUGAUCUAAAAAGACUAAAGGGGGAAGCAGACCAUUCAGGAGACAAUGCAACAAAAUUAAGAUGUUUAUGGAGGAGAAAGAGAAAGAGAGGACAACAGGUGGACAAAAACUAACUGAAAUACUUUAGGAAACAAGUGAUCUAAAAAGACUAAAGGGGGAAGCAGACCAUUCAGGAGACGAUGCAACAAAUUAAAAAGUUUAUGGGACAUUUAAAUCAAAGUUGAAAAGUAGAGGAAGAGAAGAGGAACAACUAGAAAUGCUUGGAAAUGAUACAAGCUGGUGAUAAAUGAAUGUUGACAGGAGAUAUAAAUUAAGGAAUAGAUUAGAUUAAGAAAGAUAUGGAGCCUUUAUGUCAAGACUGGAGACUAAAGGGACAGAACAGAAACAAAUGGAAAUGCUUGGGAAUGACAGAAGUUAGUGAGGAAUGAACAAUGACUCAACAUGGCCACUGAUGACGGAAAUUACGAGAUAGAUUAGAUUACGAUAGAUCAUGAAAAUUGUUGAACGUUUAAAUCGAAAUUGGAGACCAGAGGCACAGAACAGAAACAAAUAGAAAUACUUGGGAACGACAGAAGCUGGUGAUGACAGGCUACAGAAAUUACAAAACAGAUUAGAUUUAGAUGAAAAAAAUUAUGAAAGACUUGCAUCAAAAUUGGAGACUAGAGGCACAGAACAGAAACAAAUAGAAAUACUUGGGAACGACAGAAGCUGGUGAUGACAGGAUAUAUAAAUUACAAAACAGAUUAGAUUAAGAUAGAUGAAAAAAAUUAUGAAAGACUUGCAUCAAAAUUGGAGACCAUAGAGGCAGAGAAAACAGAAACAAAUAGAAGUACUUGGGAACGACAGAAGCUGGUGAUGACAGGAUAUAAAAAUUACAAAACAGAUUAGAUUAAGAUAGAUGAAAAAAAUGAUGAAAGACUCGCAUAAAAAUUGAAGACUAGAGAGGCAGAGAAAACUGAAACAAAUAGAAAUGCUUGUGAAUGGCAAAUGAAUGAACAAAAUCUCACUACAGCUACAGAAGACAAAAAAAGGUGUGCUGACUAAACCAAGGAAUCAUGAAACAGGGAGAGCUCACACGUACUGGGUAUAAACGGAAUUGUAAGGCUGUUUACGUAGAGGUGGGAAUAGUUUCUUGGCACACACACACACAGGCGCUUCUGCUGUCACCUAAGUCUCCCCAAAAUGAGCACUCCAUAUAAAUUGUUGUAAGCUUAGCGGAGUGCACAGAGUAUUUGGCACCUGAUACGGACCUAACCACUGGCACCCCUGACCCUCCCUCCCUCCCUAAGAUGAAUCAGUAUAAAGAUUAGCUACACAAUGGAUAUCUACUCUGAUGCAAGAUGUCUAUUAACAGUUAUGUGGCUAGAGGAGAGGGUGAGGGUGGAGUGUUCAGGAUGGAGGUCGGUGAAAGGAAGACUAAGGGGAACACUGAGAGGAACAGUGACAUGAGACUUGGGUGUGUUGGAAAUAGAAGGAAGGGUUAAUACUGGAUUGAAGAAGAUGGAGGUAAUUGAAAGGCAACCAGAUGGAAGACCAAGGGGAACAUAGAGAGGAACAGUGACACAACAAGACUUGGGAGUGUUGGAAAUAGAAGGAUUAGCACCGGAUUGAGCAACAAGGAGGAGGAUCAUCGUAAGUUCAACCCCAAAAAUGUGAGAAGAAGGAAUAUAAGUGAAGAAUGGAGGUAAUUGAAAGGCAACCAGAUGGAAGACCAAGGGGAACAUGAAGAGGAUAUGUGACACAACAAGACUUGGAUGUGUUGGAUAUAGAGGGAUUAGCACUGCACAGAGCAAGAUGGAGGAUGAUCAUCACAAGUUCGACCCCAAGAAUGUGAGAAGAUGGACUAUACAUGAAAAAGAAGAAAAAGAAGUUAGAAGAAAAAGGGUAGUCUGACUUUUCAACUCGAUUUUUAGGACAUAGAAAUUUAUAAGUGUUGGGUUUUCACAUUUAACUCAAUGUAUCACAAGCUCAGGAUUUGAACCCAGGCUUGUGGAUUUGUAGCUAGGCAUGCUGACCACUUCACCAUGGAGGCAUAUGUUGUGGUGAGCUGGAAAGACCUCCUUCAGACCUGCUGGGAGAAUGAGACAGAGAGUGACAAAGAGAGUAGUGAGUGUAGGGAUGAGAAGGGCCUGUGUGGGUGCUUCCUGACUGCAAGAUGUGUUCCUCUGUUCCUUCCUGGGUGUGGUGAGCUGGGAAGACCUACUUGAGACUUGCUAGGAGAAUAAGACAGAGAAUGACAGAGAGAGCAAUGAUUGUAGGGAUGAGAAGGGCCUGUGUGUGGGUGCUUCCUGGCUGCAGGAUGUGUUCCUCUGUUCCUUCCUGGGUGUGGUGAGCUAGAAAGACCUACUUGAGACCUGCUGGGAGAAUAAGACAGAGUGACAGAGAGAGCAAUGAUUGUAGGGAUGAGAAGGGUCUGUGUGUGGGUGCUUCCUGGCUGCAAGAUGUGUUCCUCUGUUCCUUCCUGGGUGUGGUGAGCUGGGAAGACCUACUUGAGACCUGCUAGGAGAAUAAGAUAGAGAGUGACAGAGAGCAAUGAUUGUAAGGAUGAGAAGGGCCUGUGUGUGUGGGUGCUUCCUGACUGCAAGAUGUGUUCCUGUGUUCCUCCCUGGGUGUGGUGAGCUGGGAAGACCUACUUGAGACCUGCAGAUUAGCGGGAAGGGGCACAGAAAGACCGCCUUGUUUCCUUACACAUACCAAGGGUCCAGGUAAAGAAGGCAGGUGGGUGGGUACCGGAGUUAUUAGCAUACCAGAGAGUAGUUAUAAAUACAUGCUUCGUUAAUUAGUGGGCAUCCAUGGGGGGUGACGAGGAAAUUUAGCAGUCCCAGGCUACAGGUUAAGUGGUAAGGAUGAUGGCUCCCAGGCCGAGUGCAGGGACCUGGGAGAGCACGGUUGUCACGCCUAGCCUCACACCUGUUGACACCUGGCCACGAGGACGGAUGGUGCCACUCACAGCCCUCGCCACACACACACCACUCACCACACCAUCACUCUUAUCUAUAUUUUUACAGUAAAGGAAGCAGCUCAAGGGCAAAAUAAACAAAGACAAAAAGGCCCACUAAACACCACUCCUACUUUACUUCUUACUUUAAAGGAAAACAAGAGAAAAAAACAAAAAAGGCCAGUUAAGUGUACCUAUUUUUUUUUUUUUUUUUUUUUU